UACAGAGGGGCGAGCGUUGUUCGGAAUUACUGGGCGUAAAGGGCGCGUAGGCGGCCUGCUAAGUCGAACGUGAAAUCCCCGGGCUCAACCCGGGAACUGCGUCCGAUACUGGUGGGCUUGAAUCCGGGAGAGGGAUGUGGAAUUCCAGGUGUAGCGGUGAAAUGCGUAGAUAUCUGGAGGAACACCGGUGGCGAAGGCGGCAUCCUGGACCGGUAUUGACGCUGAGGCGCGAAAGCUAGGGGAGCAAACGGGG
rnacentral:rRNA from 1 species